rnacentral:rRNA from 1 species
UACGAAGGGGGCUAGCGUUGCUCGGAAUCACUGGGCGUAAAGGGUGCGUAGGCGGGUUUUUAAGUCAGGGGUGAAAUCCUGGAGCUCAACUCCAGAACUGCCUUUGAUACUGAAGAUCUUGAGUCCGGGAGAGGUGAGUGGAACUGCGAGUGUAGAGGUGAAAUUCGUAGAUAUUCGGAAGAACACCAGUGGCGAAGGCGGCUCACUGGCCCGGUACUGACGCUGAGAUGCGAAAGCGUGGGGAGCAAACAGG